rnacentral:rRNA from 1 species
UAACCUGCCUGGUAGCGGGGAUAACUAUUGGAAACGAUAGCUAAUACCGCAUAACAGUAGAUAUCGCAUGAUAUUUGCUUGAAAGGUGCAAUUGCACCACUACCAGAUGGACCUGCGUUGUAUUAGCUAGUUGGUGAGGUAACGGCUCACCAAGGCAACGAUACAUAGCCGACCUGAGAGGGUGAUCGGCCACACUGGGACUGAGACACGGCCCAG